CUGGAGUGAUGGCAGAUGUUUGGGCAGUUGUUUGUUGUGUGCUGACUGUUUGGAUUAACAAAGGCUUGAGUUUGCCAGUUGGUGGCACAAAUGAAGACAUGAUGAUGAGCUGCAGAGGAGAAUGAUUAGAGAUAUGUCUCCCAAUGAUGUCUCCGUGAAGAGGGCCUUUGCACUUGUCCAGUCAAUGGAGUCCAAGUUGAUCCAAGCUGCUAAAAAAGCACAACAGGAAACCAAUGAAGUGGAAGCUGAGGCAGCUAUUCAAAAACUGGAAUAUGUUCAAUUGCCCCUGAACGGACCCGAACGGCUCAAAACCUGCCUGACGCUGGGCGACCAGCCCGCCAACCAGAC